CCGCAUGGUUCAAAAGUGAAAGACGGUCUUGCUGUCACUUAUAGAUGGAUCCGCGCUGCAUUAGCUAGUUGGUAAGGUAACGGCUUACCAAGGCAACGAUGCAUAGCCGACCUGAGAGGGUGAUCGGCCACACUGGAACUGAGACACGGUCCAGACUCCUACGGGAGGCAGCAGUAGGGAAUCUUCCGCAAUGGGCGAAAGCCUGACGGAGCAACGCCGCGUGAGUGAUGAAGGUCUUCGGAUCGUAAAACUCUGUUAUUAGGGAAGAACAUAUGUGUAAGUAACUGUGCACAUCUUGACGGUACCUAAUCAGAAAGCCACGGCUAACUACGUGCCAGCAGCCGCGGUAAUACGUAGGUGGCAAGCGUUAUCCGGAAUUAUUGGGCGUAAAGCGCGCGUAGGCGGUUUUUUAAGUCUGAUGUGAAAGCCCACGGCUCAACCGUGGAGGGUCAUUGGAAACUGGAAAACUUGAGUGCAGAAGAGGAAAGUGGAAUUCCAUGUGUAGCGGUGAAAUGCGCAGAGAUAUGGAGGAACACCAGUGGCGAAGGCGACUUUCUGGUCUGUAACUGACGCUGAUGUGCGAAAGCGUGGGGAUCAAACAGGAUUAGAUACCCUGGUAGUCCACGCCGUAAACGAUGAGUGCUAAGUGUUAGGGGGUUUCCGCCCCUUAGUGCUGCAGCUAACGCAUUAAGCACUCCGCCUGGGGAGUACGACC
rnacentral:rRNA from 1 species